UGAGUUUAGAUGGGACAGAUUU
rnacentral:siRNA from 1 species